UACGUAGGGUGCAAGCGUUGUCCGGAUUUAUUGGGUUUAAAGGGUGCGUAGGCGGUCUAUUAAGUCAGUGGUGAAAUCCAACAGCUCAACUGUUGAUGUGCCAAUGAUACUGAUGGACUUGAGUACAGACGAGGUAGGCGGAAUUGACAGUGUAGCGGUGAAAUGCAUAGAUAUUGUCAAGAACACCGAUAGCGAAGGCAGCUUGCUAGCCUGUAACUGACGCUGAGGCACGAAGGUAUGGGGAGCGAAC
rnacentral:rRNA from 1 species